rfam:Photobacterium damselae subsp. piscicida DI21 contig00482, whole genome shotgun sequence.
UUCACCGUGAGGUGAAAUCUGAAGGAAGCAAAUGGCAAAAUUUGGCUGUGACGAACAGAAAUCUGAUAGU